rnacentral:rRNA from 1 species
CAGAACGAACGCUGGCGGCGUGCUUAACACAUGCAAGUCGAACGCGAAAGGGACUUCGGUCCUGAGUAAAGUGGCGCACGGGUGAGUAACGCGUAGAUAACCCUGUCUUCAUGUCUGGAAUAAUACGCCGAAAGGGGUACUAAUACCGGAUAUUCUUGCUUUUCAUAAGUUAUGCAAGCAAAGGUGGCCUCUGCAUAUGCUACUGCAUGAAGAGGGGUCUGCGUACCAUUAGCUAGUAGGUGGGGUAAUGGCCUACCUAGGCGACGAUGGUUAGCGGGUCUGAGAGGAUGAUCCGCCACACUGGCACUGGAACACGGGCCAGACUCCUACGGGAGGCAGCAGUGAGGAAUAUUGCGCAAUGGGGGAAACCCUGACGCAGCGACGCCGCGUGAGUGAGGAAGGCCUUCGGGUCGUAAAGCUCUGUCAAGAGGAAAGAAGUGUACAAUGGCUAAUACCUGUUGUAUUUGACGGUACCUCUAAAGGAAGCACCGGCUAACUCCGUGCCAGCCGCCGC